rnacentral:rRNA from 1 species
CGGCCGGGAACUCAAAGGAGACUGCCAGUGAUAAACUGGAGGAAGGUGGGGAUGACGUCAAGUCAUCAUGGCCCUUACGAGUAGGGCUACACACGUGCUACAAUGGCGCAUACAAAGAGAAGCGACCUCGCGAGAGCAAGCGGACCUCAUAAAGUGCGUCGUAGUCCGGAUUGGAGUCUGCAACUCGACUCCAUGAAGUCGGAAUCGCUAGUAAUCGUAGAUCAGAAUGCUACGGUGAAUACGUUCCCGGGCCUUGUACACACCGCCCGUCACACCAUGGGAGUGGGUUGCAAAAGAAGUAGGUAGCUUAACCUUCGGGAGGGCGCUUACCACUUUGUGAUUCAUGACUGGGGUGAAGUCGUAACAAGGUAACCGUAGGGGAACCUGCGGUUGGAUCACCUCCUU